GAUGAACGCUGGCGGCGUGCCUAAUACAUGCAAGUCGAGCGAACGGACGAGAAGCUUGCUUCUCUGAUGUUAGCGGCGGACGGGUGAGUAACACGUGGAUCACCUACCUAUAAGACUGGGAUAACUUCGGGAAACCGGAGCUAAUACCGGAUAAUAUUUUGAACCGCAUGGUUCAAAAGUGAAAGACGGUCUUGCUGUCACUUAUAGAUGGAUCCGCGCUGCAUUAGCUAGUUGGUAAGGUAACGGCUUACCAAGGCAACGAUGCAUAGCCGACCUGAGAGGGUGAUCGGCCACACUGGAACUGAGACACGGUCCAGACUCCUACGGGAGGCAGCAGUAGGGAAUCUUCCGCAAUGGGCGAAAGCCUGACGGAGCAACGCCGCGUGAGUGAUGAAGGUCUUCGGAUCGUAAAACUCUGUUAUUAGGGAAGAACAUAUGUGUAAGUAACUGUGCACAUCUUGACGGUACCUAAUCAGAAAGCCACGGCUAACUACGUG
rnacentral:rRNA from 1 species